AAGGAUAUACUUUCAGGGAUCAUUUCUACAGUUCAUUACUAGAGAAGUUUCUCUCAUUCUGUAGAGCACCUGAAAACAAGAGAGGAGCCAGAAGAUCAUCUCCUGAGCAUGAAACCUAUUCUAAGUGUUGCUUUUGCGGCUGCCUUUGACCACUGAUGAUCAUUCUUCUCUUCCCUAGGAGAGGGAGAGCAUGCAGUCUGAGUGU
rnacentral:snoRNA from 1 species